rnacentral:lncRNA from 1 species
AUAGGAGCUUGUUAUGCUAUCCACAAGACUUUUUAUGAGGAAUUGAGAUUUCAACCCCACUAAAAAACUUAAUGAUAGAUUUCUUCAUUUUCAUACUUGAGGGCUAUGAAACUCGCUAAAAUAGUGAGAGACACAAUUAGAUAAAAAUCUCAUCUAAAUUGUAUAUGUCAUCAUGAGUAGUUCUUUUAUAUUUUUAUAUACACAUCUAC